rnacentral:rRNA from 1 species
GAUGAACGCUAGCUACAGGCUUAACACAUGCAAGUCGAGGGGCAGCAUGGACAUAGCUUGCUAUGUUUGAUGGCGACCGGCGCACGGGUGCGUAACACGUAUCCAAUCUGCCCGUUACUCGGGGAUAGCCUUCUGAAAGGAAGAUUAAUACCCGAUGGCAUGUAUUUCCGGCAUCGGAGAUACAUUAAAGAUUUAUCGGUAACGGAUGAGGAUGCGUACGAUUAGCUUGUUGGCGGGGUAACGGCCCACCAAGGCAACGAUCGUUAGGGGUUCUGAGAGGAAGGUCCCCCACACUGGAACUGAGACACGGUCCAGACUCCUACGGGAGGCAGCAGUGAGGAAUAUUGGUCAAUGGUCGGAAGACUGAACCAGCCAAGUAGCGUGAAGGAUGACUGCCCUACGGGUUGUAAACUUCUUUUGUUUGGGAAUAAAAGACGCUACGUGUAGCGUUCUGCAUGUACCUUACGAAUAAGCAUCGGCUAAUUCCGUGCCAGCCGCCGCGGUAAAAC